rnacentral:rRNA from 1 species
GUGUCAGCAGCCGCGGUAAUACGAAGGUGGCUAGCGUUGUUCGGAUUUAUUGGGCGUAAAGGGUCCGCAGGCGGUUUGGAAAGUCAGAUGUGAAAUCCCACAGCUUAACUGUGGACACGCAUUUGAAACUCCCAGACUAGAGUAUGAGAGGGGUAAAAGGAAUUUCCAGUGUAGGGGUGAAAUCCGUAGAUAUUGGAAAGAACACCGGCCGCGAAGGCGUUUUACUGGCUCAUUACUGACGCUCAGGGACGAAAGCCAGGGGAGCAAACGGGAUUAGAUACCCCGGUAGUCC